UACGUAGGGGGCAAGCGUUGUCCGGAUUCAUUGGGCGUAAAGAGCGUGUAGGCGGCCAGGUAGGUCGGUUGUGAAAACUGGAGGCUCAACCUUCAGAGGUCGACCGAAACCAUCUGGCUAGAGUCCGGGAGAGGAGAGUGGAAUUCCUGGUGUAGCGGUGAAAUGCGCAGAUAUCAGGAAGAACACCCGUGGCGAAAGCGGCUCUCUGGAACGGUACUGACGCUGAGACGCGAAA
rnacentral:rRNA from 1 species